GCGAAUGUAGUUUAGUGGUAAAAUUCAAGCUUCCCAAGCUUGUGUCGCGGGUUCGAUUCCCGUCAUUCGCUUCA
rnacentral:tRNA from 4 species